GCAAACUUGGUCAUUUAGAGGAAGUAAAAGUCGUAACAAGGUUUCCGUAGGUGAACCUGCGGAAGGAUCAUCAAUGAAAUUUUAUUGAAUUUUUUUUUCUAUAAAGAAAAGUGUCUAUACAUUUUUCUUUAUAGAAAAAAAAUUCAUUUAUUAUAAACGCCUUCAAUUGUGUGAUCUUAAUCAUUAUUAUUGAAUAAUAAUGAUAGUUUGAUAAAUUUUGUAUAAAAAUUAGAUAAUCUUUAACAACUUUUAACGAUGGAUCUCUUGGCUCUCGCAUCGAUGAAGAACGCAGC
rnacentral:misc_RNA from 1 species